rnacentral:rRNA from 1 species
CCUACGGGUGGCAGCAGUGGGGGAUAUUGGACAAUGGGGGAAACCCUGAUCCAGCGACGCCGCGUGAGUGAAGAAGUAUUUCGGUAUGUAAAGCUCUAUCAGCAGGGAAGAAAGAAAUGACGGUACCUGAGUAAGCAGCCCCGGCUAACUACGUGCCAGCAGACGCGGUAAUACGUAGGGGGCAAGCGUUAUCCGGAAUUACUGGGUGUAAAGGGAGCGUAGACGGUACUGCAAGUCUGGAGUGAAAGGCGGGGGCUCAACCCCCGGACUGCUCUGGAAACUGGGUAACUGGAGUGCAGGAGGGGCAGGCGGAAUUCCUAGUGUAGCGGUGAAAUGCGUAGAUAUUAGGAGGAACACCAGUGGCGAAGGCGGCCUGCUGGACUGUAACUGACGUUGAGGCUCGAAAGCGUGGGGAGCAAACAGGAUUAGAUACCCGUGUAGUC